UACGUAGGGUCCGAGCGUUGUUCGGAAUUAUUGGGCGUAAAGGGCUCGUAGGCGGUUUGUCGCGUCGGGAGUGAAAACCAGGUGCUUAACACCUGGCCUGCUUUCGAUACGGGCAGACUAGAGGCAUUCAGGGGAGAACGGAAUUCCUGGUGUAGCGGUGAAAUGCGCAGAUAUCAGGAGGAACACCGGUGGCGAAGGCGGUUCUCUGGGAAUGUCCUGACGCUGAGGAGCGAAAGUGUGGGGAGCGAACAGG
rnacentral:rRNA from 1 species